ensembl:misc_RNA 7SK 7SK RNA
GGAUGUGAGGACAAUCUGGCUGUGACAUUUGUCAUCCCACUGGUCUCCAGGGUUGAUUCAGCUGGUCUGGCUGGCUGGGUGGGUCUCCCCUUCCUCCCCCACUGCUUCACGUGCAUCCAUCCUGCAGCUGUGCACAUGGCAGAUAAACAAACCUUCUCUGAAAAGAGACAGACUGGUCUUAGUCUAGGGUAUAAGAAUAGCUGUGCUCCCCUUCUAGAAGCUCUAAAGAAGCUCUCAGCAAGAAGAUAUAAAAUAAUAAAUAUUUUAGACUCAACCUGGGUGAUACUA